rnacentral:rRNA from 1 species
CCCUUAGAUGUUCUGGGCCGCACGCGCGCUACACUGAUGCAUUCAACGAGUCUAAAACCUGCUCUGAUAGGGUUGGGUAAUCUUUUGAAUGUGCAUCGUGAUUGGGAUAGAUGAUUGCAAUUUUUCAUCUUCAACGAGGAAUGCCUAGUAAACGCAAGUCAUCAGCUUGCAUUGAUUACGUCCCUGCCCUUUGUACACACCGCCCGUCGCUCCUACCGAUUGAAUGAUCCGAUGAAUAUCAUGGAUUGAGGAUGCAAGUAGGUUAGCCUAUCUUCAUCUUCGAGAAGUGAAGUAAAUCUUAUCAUUUAGAGGAAGGAGAAGUCGUAACA